rnacentral:rRNA from 1 species
UACGUAGGUGACCAGCGUUGUCCGGAUUUACUGGGCGUAAAGAGCGCGCAGGCGGUCGUUCAAGUCGAGUGUGAAAGCCCCCGGCUCAACUGGGGAGGGUCACUCGAUACUGAUCGACUUGAAGGCAGGAGAGGGAAGCGGAAUUCCCGGUGUAGUGGUGAAAUGCGUAGAUAUCGGGAGGAACACCAGUGGCGAAGGCGGCUUCCUGGCCUGUUCUUGACGCUGAGGCGCGAAAGCGUGGGGAGCGAUCCGG